GUUUGUAACUUGUCCGAAUCAAGACUGGACCUCUACAGUUGCCAUAGCCAAACGUCACUUUGGAGCGAAAGAUUUCAAACGGCUCCUUUGAGGAAGACUUGAGGGCCGAAAUGUUGUCGUUUCUCUCAUAACAGUGUACAAUUUAGCCAGCUGUUUUUAAAUAGAGCGUUUUGUGGACUGUUCACAGUCCCUGGUCUAAAGAUGAAAGGCUUGGAAAUGUCCGCUAUGAUACCUGCACUGCAGGAGCUCGCGAGAACAUGAGAACAUAUGAAAGCUGGUGGUUCCUUUCAACGUGAGUCUUCAAUAUUCCCAGGUAAAAAGUUUUAGGUUGUAGUUAUUAUAGGAAUUAUAGGACUAUUUCUCUCUGUACAAUUUGUAUUUUAUAUACCUUCGACUGUUGGAUGUUCUUAUAGGCACUUUAGUAUUGCCAGUGUAACAGUAUAGCUUCCAUCCCUCUCCUCUCUCCUCCCUUACCCAUGCAGAGCAAGGGGAACAACCACCCCGUUAACUAGCUAGCCAUUUCACAUCGGUUACACCAGCCUAAUCUCGGGAGUUGAUAGGCUUGAAGUUAUAAUCUCUCUGUAUUCCAGGUGGAUGGUGACAGUACUCUCAGUAUGGGGUCCAUUUCUCUCUCUGUAUUCCAGGUGGAUGGUAACAGUAGUAGUCUCAGUAUGGGGUCCAUUUCUCUCUCUCUGUAUUCCAGGUGGAUGGUAACAGUACUCUCAGUAUGGGGACCAUUUCUCUCUCUCUGUAUUCCAGGUGGAUGGUAACAGUAGUAGUCUCAGUAUGGGGUCCAUUUCUCUCUCUGUAUUCCAGGUGGAUGGUAACAGUAGUAGUCUCAGUAUGGGGUCCAUUUCUCUCUCUCUGUAUUCCAGGUGGAUGGUAACAGUAGUAGUCUCAGUAUGGGGUCCAUUUCUCUCUCUCUGUAUUCCAGGUGGAUGGUAACAGUAGUACUCUCAGUAUGGGGUCCAUUUCUCUCUCUCUGUAUUCCAGGUGGAUGGUAACAGUAGUACUCUCAGUAUGGGGUCCAUUUCUCUCUCUCUGUAUUCCAGGUGGAUGGUAACAGUAGUACUCUCAGUAUGGGGUCCAUUUCUCUCUCUGUAUUCCAGGUGGAUGGUAACAGUAGUACUCUCAGUAUGGGGUCCAUUUCUCUCUCUGUAUUCCAGGUGGAUGGUAACAGUAGUACUCUCAGUAUGGGGUCUAUUUCUCUCUCUCUGUAUUCCAGGUGGAUGGUAACAGUAGUACUCUCAGUAUGGGGUCCAUUUCUCUCUCUCUGUAUUCCAGGUGGAUGGUAACAGUAGUACUCUCAGUAUGGGGUCCAUUUCUCUCUCUCUGUAUUCCAGGUGGAUGGUAACAGUACUCUCAGUAUGGGGUCCAUUUCUCUCUCUCUGUAUUCCAGGUGGAUGGUAACAGUAGUACUCUCAGUAUGGGGUCCAUUUCUCUCUCUGUAUUCCAGGUGGAUGGUAACAGUAGUACUCUCAGUAUGGGGUCUAUUUCUCUCUCUCUGUAUUCCAGGUGGAUGGUAACAGUAGUACUCUCAGUAUGGGGUCCAUUUCUCUCUCUCUGUAUUCCAGGUGGAUGGUAACAGUAGUAGUCUCAGUAUGGGGUCCAUUUCUCUCUCUCUGUAUUCCAGGUGGAUGGUAACAGUACUCUCAGUAUGGGGUCCAUUUCUCUCUCUCUGUAUUCCAGGUGGAUGGUAACAGUAGUACUCUCAGUAUGGGGUCCAUUUCUCUCUCUCUGUAUUCCAGGUGGAUGGUAACAGUACUCUCAGUAUGGGGUCCAUUUCUCUCUCUCUGUAUUCCAGGUGGAUGGUAACAGUACUCUCAGUAUGGGGUCCAUUUCUCUCUCUCUGUAUCCCAGGUGGAUGGUAACAGUAGUCUCAGUAUGGGGUCCAUGUCUCUCUCUCUGUAUUCCAGGUGGAUGGUAACAGUAGUCUCAGUAUGGGGUCCAUUUCUCUCUCUCUGUAUUCCAGGUGGAUGGUAACAGUAGUACUCUCAGUAUGGGGUCCAUUUCUCUCUCUGUAUUCCAGGUGGAUGGUAACAGUACUCUCAGUAUGGGGUCCAUUUCAAGCAGUUGAAGCGUCUGGUGGAGGAGCUAUCGUUCAGCCAGAUCCUGAUCCCUCUGCAGUCUGUCCUCAUCCCCACACUGCCCUCUACUGGCCCUGCAAACACACUGCACCUCAACGCAUUCCCCGGACACUGGGCCUACCUCCAUGGCUUUGACGAUACUGUGGAGAUCCUAGCCUCCCUCCAGGAGCCCAAGAAAAUCGGCCUGAAGGGACGUGAUGGGAGGAGCUACACUGUGAUGUGUAAACCUAAAGAUGACCUCCGGAAAGACUGUCGCCUCAUAGAAUUCAACUGCCUCAUCAACAAGUGUACUGAAGACAUUUCUCCCAUGACCCUCUGGUAGAGUGGAGUAAACCCAAAGGACGAUCCAAGACACAGGCCAGUGAGAAUGGAGAGAUAGUCAACGAGAAGGCCACUACCUGAUACAGGAGGCUACCGACGACAAAAACUACUGUGUCAGAUGUACCUGGGCUGGGGACCUUACCUGUGAUACACAUGGCUUCUCUGAGACACUGUUUACAAUGUUCAAUAUUUGACUUGUUCUGUUAUCAAUGACAUUCUCUUCCUUUUUCAUGUUUUUGUAAAUCUGGAAUAAUUGUUAUGUUUUUCAUGGGGCAGUUGCAAAUUUUACCGUAAUAAAAAAAUAUAUAUUUU